CAGGAAUCUGUUAGUCUUGAAAGCAAUUCGCUGUGCCACAUUCUCUCUCAGCUUGACAUCAUAGCACACCAAUGAGACAUUGCAAUCAAGAUGAGCAGAUCGGUUAGGACAGUUCACACCAGUUAACAUAGCCUGAAAAACCUGUGGCCACCAAAGAGCCCAGGAGACGAAUUAGAAUCCUCACUUUCCUAUUUCUAAAGGAAGAUCUUUUUCCAUCUCCUAUCACUUGGAAACAGCUAAGGGAGAGAAUAUUUCUUCGUUUGUUCAAAGUAGCCACAUACUUUGGUAAUAUUUGAAAGGAAUGCUCUUCACCCAGAGACACAACUCUCCAACUCCAAUCAAAAAAAUCUUUGGGCAGAAGAUUGAUUGAUCCAUCUUGGAUGACACUGUCAUCUGUGGAUGGAGGACUAUGGAUCAGACCCUUUAAUGGCUCAGCUGCAGUGCUCAACCUGUGGUUAGAAGGAGUUGACCUGUACAACUUUUAUGUCAUGGUUGUGAAGGAAUAUUUUCCAGGAGAAUGUAACUGCUCUGGGCAGACAAGGCAAUGUGUUCAGCAGUAUUUCAUAACUAACAUGAUGCUUUUCACAAAUUAGAUGCUAGAAAAUUACUUAUUCUACUAUUACACUACUAGAUUUCUUAACAGCUUUAUUAAAAUAUAAUUCACAUACAAUAGCAUUUACUUAAAGUGGUUUUUUUUAUAUUCACAGAGUUGUGCAACCAUAACCAUGAUCUAAUUUUAGAAUAUUAUCUGAAACUUGGUUUUAGCCUAGUGAGAAUUCUAAUGUAAAAAACUGUAAGAUAGUAAAUUGGUGUUGUUUUAAGCCACUGAAUUUGUGGUGAUUUAUUAUUGGUUUAUAACAAUAAGAAACCAAUAUGGAUUCACUCACCCUGAGAUUCUGUUUUCUCAUAUUUAAAUUGAGCAUAAUAAUGUAUAUCUCACAGGAUUUUAUGAAAUUAAAUACGAUAAUAUGCAUGGUAGAAACUUCUGAAGACUCAGUACUAAUAAAUUUAUCAUUUAAGUUUUUAAUUUUAAUGUAUUAUAG
rnacentral:lncRNA from 10 species